rnacentral:rRNA from 1 species
UGGGGAAUAUUGCACAAUGGGCGGAAGCCUGAUGCAGCGACGCCGCGUGGGGGAUGAAGGCCUUCGGGUUGUAAACUCCUUUCGGCAGGGACGAAGCGUAAGUGACGGUACCUGUAUAAGAAGCACCGGCUAACUACGUGCCAGCAGCCGCGGUAAUACGUAGGGUGCGAGCGUUGUCCGGAAUUACUGGGCGUAAAGAGCUCGUAGGUGGUUUGUCGCGUCGUCUGUGAAAUUCCGGGGCUUAACUCCGGGCGUGCAGGCGAUACGGGCUGACUUGAGUGCUGUAGGGGAGACUGGAAUUCCUGGUGUAGCGGUGAAAUGCGCAGAUAUCAGGAGGAAUACCGAUGGCGAAGGCAGGUCUCUGGGCAGUAACUGACGCUGAGGAGCGAAAGCAUGGGUAGCGAACAGGAUUAGAUACCCUGGUAGUCCAUGCCGUAAACGGUGGGCGCUAGGUGUAGGGGGCUUCCACGUCUUCUGUGCCGUAGCUAACGCAUUAAGCGCCCCGCCUGGGGAGUACGGCCGCAAGGCUA